UUUUUCAACCCUAGCGAACCAAAGAUGGGAAAAAAACGACGGAAAGCUUAUAUCCUACGUGGCCACGAAAAAUCUGAUGUGGAGGCGGUGUAAAACUUUUCCACGAGUUAAAAAACGAACAAAACAGCCCCUAACCCAUAAUCCCAUAUGCUUUUGGUAUUAUUUUCGGGUUGUAGAUAUUAUCCCUCAAAUCUUCAAUAAUUCCAUAUUAGUCGCCAAAUCUUUGAAAUUGCUCGUGCGUACCUCAGAGACUUUAAGGGGUCUAAAAUCGGUCCCUCAAAUCUAUCAUAUUUCUUAACUUUCCCUCUAACGCUGUGUGUAUUUUCAGUGACGAGGUGUAUUUUCUGCAGAUUGAAAGGGAGAGAUGGAACUAAGGUUAGGAUUUAGCACCUUUUGUUAUGUCUGAUAAAAUGGCUGAUCUGAGUCCCUAAGCGCUUGGCUGAAGAGUAAUGAUUUGCACCAGGAAAUCUUCCACUGCUGCGCAAAGACAAAAUUGCACCAGCUUACUGUGCAAAAAGCAGUGUUAUCGAUGCUCGACAUGCAAUGCGGGGCACAAAGCUUCUUUACGUGUACAUGCAAAAGUGGCGAGGUAAUCCUGGAUGCUUGGCUAUUUUGCUAGUGACCAUUGCAGCCACUGGUCGGUGUGGAGGAUAUAAAUUCCUAUGGACUUGUUCUGUAUCACAUUUUUGGGAUAUGCACAAAUUUCACAAAACUAGCAUGAAAUUUGUAGAGUUUUGCUCAAACUGCCUUGAACCUUAAUGGGUAAAUAGCGCUUAAAUUACCUUUCGCAUGAUAUUGCACUUAUAUACCUUGUCUGUGUUCUAUUAGAGAAAAAUAGAUGAAGUUUAUGGUAUUUUUUGCAUAUUACAAUUGCGAGACAAUCCAGGAUGGUCCGUAUAUUGCAGGCAACCAUUGCAGUUAUUCGUUAGUACUGCUAGAAGCAGCAGCAGUAGCAACAGCACCAGCAGUAGCAGCAGCUGCAGUGGCUUUCUCAAGGCCUUGUUGCCUUCUUCAAAGCAAGAGAAUGGGGUCGGGGAAAAAGCCCAUCAUGAUUAAAGGGAUGAUCUGAGCCUAUCAGUUGUAAGGAGAUCUCUGCAUAGACUAUGCAUUGGUUAAUGGCGAGGUAAGAUUGGAUAGUCUGCUACCCUGUUGGCCAUCCUCUUGCAGCCAUUCCCUCAUGUCUCAUUAAAAGGGCUGAUCUGAGUCUUCUUUUUGUUCAAUUUUUUUCGCGAACUGUUGCUGACAAAGAGGAUACCAAAACCGAGUAACAUGCAGACUUUCUGCAUUUCUCAUGUAAUGGCGAGGUACGCUUGGAUGGCCUGCUUCGCAGAUCAUGCUUGCUUGCAGCCAUACCCUCAUGUCUGAUUAGAAGGGCUGAUCUGAAUCUCUUUUUUUGUUCCAACUUCUGAAUUUGUGCUCAUAUAUAGAGCCCCAAACACCCUCUUCUUGUGUACUCUUCAAUGUGGUGUCUGAGUGUUAAAAUCAUCUAUAUUUCUCUGCAGAGUAGAGGAGACAUGGUUUUAUUCUGCAAAUUGGUUUUGUUGCUUUCUCCUCUUCAAAAGAAUGAUAAAGUAAAUGCGGUUUUCCUGACGAAAAUCUUUGUUGGAACAUGGUUGGUUCCUAUGUGACUUUGUUUUGCAUAUUUGUUUCUUUAACCUGUUGGUAUGUGCAUAUUUCGGUGGCUGAGCAGUCCUCGAUGGUCUGCUACAUCGUAGGCAUCAAUUGAAACCGCUUAUUGAUACCACUCAUUCAUAUGCGGGAUAUGAAUUCCGAAGGGCUCAUAUCACAUUUAUGCUGAUUUAGGUAAUUAUUAGAUUACUUAUUAUGGUGAGGUGUGUAUAUGUGAACAACCCUUUAUAUACCUUGGCUGCACAAACUGCAAAUUUUGACGAAAACUAGUUUUUUU